rnacentral:lncRNA from 1 species
UAUGUAUUUUCAGAUAAACAUUUUUCUCUGCCAUGUGAAACUGAUGUACAGCAAGUCGAAUCGGAUUUUAAAACCAUAACAGUCACGUGAUUGGCUAACAAUAGCUCACAAUGACGAGGGGUUUUCCCUGCUACAAUAGGAAUUUCCCGCACAGCGCCUUUCCAGGAAGGUUGCAUAGCAACGAUUUCUGAGAACUCGCAGGACUUUAGUGCUUUCCACCAUCCGCAGCUCUUUCAUUGAGGCUUUGCCGUUACUCUGCUGGAUGAAAUCUUGCUUAUAGACCAAGACUUCGACCGUUUGCUACUGGAUGCUUCACGGCACGUAGCAUUGUUGAUGCUUGCUAGACAAACAAGAAAUUCCACGAUCUGUGUUGUGCGGACGUCACACCGUCUUCCAUCGGGGCCCUAACCGUUGUGCACUCUUAUUUAGGACUCUUGUGUGGAUGAAACACAAAAAACUCAUUUUCUCUAAGAAUAAUGGCGUUUAUUCCUUUGUUAGGAAAGUAUAGGGUAAAGGAUGACUUCUCGGACAUCGUUCUGGUGGUAGAGGGCAGGAGGCUUCAUGUAAAUAAAACUCUGUUGAUGAUGCAUUCACCUGUGUUCAAGACAAUGUUCACGGCCGACUUCAGAGAAAAGGACUUACAAGAGAUUCCACUUCCAGGAAAGAAAUGGCAUUUAAUGGUGGAACUAUUGGACCAAAUCUAUCCCGGCAACGCCGUUGACAAAUUCCGCUAUCAAACUCUACGUGACCUUCUUCAACUCGCAGAUGAAUAUGGUGUGCAGCAAGUCUUUCACAACUGCCAAGCAUACUUCGAAAGACGCAUAAAUUGGAAAAAUCAAGACAUGAAAAAUGAUGAAAUUUUCAUAUACCUUGCGAUAGUGGUGCGUUGGAGCAGAAGAUACAAUCAACUAAGCAUUUUCAGAUCGGUUCUAGUUGAGGACGCAAGUCAUGUAGAUACGAAACUCUUGAAAAGAAACAAGUAUUUUACUUCUCUACCUGGUCAGCUUCAAAAUGACAUCCUCAUGCAUCGUCUUGAGACAGUCGAAAAUGAACUAUCUUCUGUGAAUGAGUUCAACAGUAGGUAUCAAGGGAACUUUCUCCCCGCUCUAUCAGCCCGCUGAGGGUAAAACGGCUUCUAGUAGUUUGCCCGCGCCCACAGCCCAGGGAUGGAGCACUGUGGUAACCAGUGUAGUGUCUUAAUUGAAUAAAAUAUAAGGGAGACAACACUGGAUUACUUCCCUUUAAAUGCUGAAAAAGUCAACCAAUCAUAUUUCCUAGUGUUAAAACCACUGUAUAGUUUGUUUACUUGAGCGCCGUAUUGACAUCGUUGCGGGUUACUCGAUUGGACGUGGAUUUGUACUCAAACAACAGAAAAUGAGAAGAAAACAGUAAGCAAUAUUUAAAUUCUACUGUAUAUUUUAAUAAAAUAUUAUAUUGUUUGUUACUUUAUGCUUGUAUAUGUUUUGUCAAAAAAAUUCUUAAUUUCUGACUAGUGACCUUUCGCCCGGAUUGUGAAUUUUCUGCCCCAUACCGUUACUAUCUUUGAUGUGAGCUUACUACAAGAAAUCAGAAUCUAUAGUUCUUGAAAUUAACCCCACGCAAAUGUUUUUUAAAAUGCUCUUUUAAACGGCGUAUCACAUAUAUGUGUCUUUUUUGUAGUUUAGCAGAUAUAAUUGUUUUAAAACACCAGUGAAAAUUUGCUUGGCAGGCACUCAGUGCUCCGCAGUGGAUUGUUUUCGCGAGGAUCUGUACCUUCGUAGCGUACCGAUAAUAAUUUUAUUAAAUGCAUCAAUCUGAUUUUUUUGACAAGAACAAUGUUUAUUCAUUUCAAGUUUAAAUGCGGUUAUCAAAGUGUGAUUCCUGGAGGUGUAACUUGUGCUAGCAUGACAUAUCCUGUGGAACCUUGUGUGAAUUUUUUUUAAUUCAAUUACACCUCCCUAAUUUUCUUUUGAUUACCUAAUAAGUGACUGUUCAUGCAGGAUUCACAUGUAAACAUUUUUGUUUCACGCAGGUUGAUCUCUUAUUAUAAGUUGAAAUUUUUUUCUAUCUCUUACAGUUAUUUUUUUAUGAUAUUUUGAAAUUCGCAUUAGUGACCUCCAAUGAAUCCGUUGGGCUAACAAUAGCUCACGAGGCUACCAACGGAAUUUCCCGCACAGCGCCUUUCCAGGAAGGUUGCAAAGCAACGCGUUCUGAGAACUCGCCGGACUUGAUUACUAGUCGACAAGAACCAACAAACGCGAACUUACUGUAAUAGAACGAACCUCUGCAACCGCUUCUCAACUUCUUUUCAAAACGACUGCAUGUCGAGCAGCCUGCCACUGUGUCGUCUCUGUGCAAACCAUUGUCAUUUUUCUUGCACAAAAGAAAUGGAAAAAGCUCCUAAAACAAGACUUGAAACUAAAUAUAGCAACAUGUUUACAGAUGUCUAUCACGCUGGGAAAAUGAGAAUUCACAUCUCUGUAUUUUUGUACCAGUAUGUGUAUAGAUGUCUGUAUCCAUUUAUGUAUGUAUAUAAGUUUGUGUGCAGUCUUGUUUAGGCUCAUCCCUGAAUGCCUGUAAACAUUGACCAGUAGUCACGUGUACUUUUGUAUGUAUCAAAGAUUGAAGACGCAUAAAUAUGUAGACAGGGAAGUUAAUAGUAAUAAUAAUAAAAAGACAAUCGGGCUCAAGGUACUUACACACAGUCGCACGAGCACAUGACUUUUUGUGGUAGGCAUUAAACGCUCCAACACACACACAAUGUGUCUGAAACUAGAGUACCCUGAGAAAACAAUUACCAACUGUCAGCAUUUAGAAAGAAGUAGGUGGGAUCCGAGAUGACAGUCACGACACCAGAGUCUCACACUCGUGGUAACAGGCACUUUAUUCUGCGUUCACUGACCCAAAGGUUUUAUUUCAUGCAUGAAUAAAUGUAGUAGAUACAGAAAACAGUCUCAACCUAUCAUGACAACUAAGAUUUUUCUGGGCCUUAAGUGAAUGCGUUUGUCCUUUUUGUUUUGUCUUCUCUGAUGAUGAAUCACUCGCCUGUGUUUAAGGCCAUGUUUACAGAUGACUUCCAGGAAAAAAAUUUAAAAGAGAUCACACUUGAAACCAGAAACUACGAUGCCAUGGUAAAUCUCUUGGAGCAAAUCUACCCUGGGCGAGGAUUUGAGUUAAUGAAAGACAACACCAUUGAGGACCUCCUUGAGCUGGCAGAUAAAUAUCAAGUAGAACAGGUGUUUGCAAACUGUAAGGCGUACAUUGAAAUGAUGAUGGAAUAUCAACCCCCCAUUAACAAAACUCUAUUGUAUCUCAAGGUAGUGGACCAGUAUGGCCACUACAAGCAGUUACAUUCAUUGAGAGAGAGACUGGUUAAGCGUGCAAGUCUCAUACCAUCCAAUAGGAUAAAAAGGAAUAGGCACUACUCUUCUCUGCCUCCUACAGCCCAGAGAGAUGUUUUCUUGCGUCGUCUUCAGGAGCUGGAAAAAUAACGAGAAAUCGUGAAAGAUUUAAUUAAAACACAGUAAGAAACUUACCAUUUAUAACCUCUUAUUUGUGUUUAUAUCAACCUUACUAGUGUUUAUAUUUACAUUUCUUACACUGUAACUGCAUUAACACAUUCAACUAGAACUGAUUCUGUGUGAUUUUCUAAUAAGUAUCCCUUUUGUAUAUUAUUGAUAUAAAUAUUUCACUACAGUGUUGAGUGCAUACUGGCAAAAACUGAUGUUUUUUUGAUCAGACUAGAACGUUUCUACUUCUUUAGGAUGAAGGUCAAAUAAAAAAAG